UAUCUCUGUAGAGUCUGCAUAUCAAUAAGCGGAGGAAAAGAAACUAACUAGGAUUCCCUCAGUAACGGCGAGUGAAGCGGGAAGAGCUCAAAUUUGAAAUCUUCAAGGUUCUACCUUGACGAAUUGUAGUUUAAAGAAGUGUUUUCUGUUGGAUGUUUUGGUAAAAGUUCUUUGGAAUAGGACAUCAUAGAGGGUGAGAAUCCCGUAUUUGACCAUUACUUUCCAGCUUUGUGAUACACUUUCAAAGAGUCGGAUUGUUUGGGAAUGCAGUCCAAAAUGGGUGGUAAAUUUCAUCUAAAGCUAAAUAUUGGCGAGAGACCGAUAGCGAACAAGUACCGUGAGGGAAAGAUGAAAAGAACUUUGAAAAGAGAGUUAAACAGUACGUGAAAUUGUCAAAAGGGAAGCGUUUGACACCAGUGUUGUUUUCUCGAAAAUCAAUUAAAAAAAGGUUAGGAUUUUGUAUUGUUAUGACCUUUAUCAGCUUACUGUACUCUUUUCUUGUCUUUUUUAAUGCACUUUUCGUUUAACAAGUCAACAUCAAUUUCUUUUGUUGUAAAAGAGGUCAUUGGAAGGUGGCUUUCCUUUCGGAUGAAAGUGUUUAUAGCCUUUGGCUUCUGCAAUCGGAGAGAUUGAGGUCUGCAGCGUAGAUCCUUCGGGGCUAGAUACAUUAGAUGCUAAGUUAUAGCCUUUUAUAGACAACUUGUUGACUAUGAUUAAGUCAUGUAGCUUACUCGUUUGCGCUAUUUUACCUACGCUUAGGAUGUUGAUGUCAUCGUAUCGCGC
rnacentral:rRNA from 1 species